ACAGGUACUCAACAUAAAUGUGCAGAAUGAAUGAAGAAUAGACCUCAAGUAAUUUACCAUUCAUUCAUGCAGUUUUUUUCUAUUAGGAUGGAAGAGUUGUAACUUCGUGGUUCUCCUACCCUCAGUGCUUCAUUUAUCCCUGUAUAAUAAUUUCUAGGAACUUGGGCUUUUGUUUUGAUCCCCCAAAAGGAGUGAGAUAUAAUAUACUUUGGUGAUAUUUACCUAUUACUGAGAAACUAAGAUGUAAAAACAGAACUAGAUUAGGCCAGUCAUACAUUUAAUUGGUAGAGUAAUAACCAUAGAAGAAUAAGAAAAAUACCUGCUCACUUAUUUUUAUAAUGUUAUAUUGGGAAAAAUUAUCCCUCCUAAAAUUUCUCUGGAGGUAUAACUUCAAACUUCCUAAAUAUGUACAUUAUAGUUCAUGUAUAAUAUAAACUAAAUACUUUAAAGAAGUGACUAAUCAAAUACUUGCCUAAUUGGAGUAUGGUUUUCUUGACUUUCAGACGUAGAAAAAUUCUAAAUACCAGGAUGUCUCACAAAGUAUAAGCUUAAGGGUCUAUGUUUUUAUUUUUGGUUCAUUGUAUUUAGAGUUAUUGGUGCCUAUCUUGAAUAAUGAAGUUUGAAUUUCACAAAUGUGCAAUAAUUCCAUACCUUUCCUGCAGCACAUCCUGAGCCCAUAAGCUGUAUAAGGAUUACUCAAGGUAACAAAUGGUGGUGGUUUGAUAAGGACAAAAUAAGUCUCUUGAUUUGUGUAUUUGCUAAUAGUUCUGCUUGACUUUAACGCAAACACUGUAAAAUAGACUAAUACCCACAGGAUUCUUUGUCAAAAUAUAAGUUUAGGCUGAAUUAAAUCACUUGGCUAUGUUUUUGUAUUUUAAUGUAUGUGAGAAAGAUUCAGUUCUCUAAUAGACAGAAUUCCACUCUUCAUAAGCCUUCAUACUCCCUUUUUAUACUUAAGGCUCUAUUUGCAUAGGAACAUUGAAAACAGAUCCAGGUUAGUGGAUAUCUUAAACUAAUUCAGUUAACUAAAGCAAAGUUUAUAGAUUUCAUGUAAUAAUUAUGGCAUGCUUUAAACAAGUCAUUGUAUUGCUGACAAACCUUAAUAGCAUGACUAGUGAAGAGCUGCCUGAAUAAACAAAUCUGUUAUUGUUUAAAAAGGACAGAUAGUUCUUAGGCAUUGGAACAUGCCAUGAUGAUAUAAAAAGUUGCUCCGAUGUAUUCUUCAUACCAGACUGAAACAUCACGUUUUGUGACUGAAGUCCAAGUUUAUACCAGUGUCCCUUAGUUCCAGGAGCACAGUGUGGACUAAGCUUCAGCUUAAACACAUCUUUGUGGAGGUCAUUAGUCAGACUGUCACACAGUUUAACUAAUUUGAAUACUCUUUGCUUUCUUAAAACCUAUGUUUCUUUGAAUGUUGGACAUAUUAAAAAUGAAAUUCUUAAUAUGUAUGUACGUCCAUAUGUUUAAAAGCAUUUGGCUUUUCCUACAUGAGAAUAUCGUACUAUU